AUCAGGAGCGGGAGCUGAGGGGAGAGAGAGGCCGGUCCUGGUCUGGCCCUUGCGGCUGCUAGCCCGAGGUCUCCAAGCCGGGCUACGGCUUCAUCCUCGGCUCCUGGGCACCGUCUGCGAGGCUCCGCCGACCAGAGUGAGAAAGCCGCGGGCGGCGACCGCCGCAUCAUGUCAGCCAAGGACGAGCGGGCCAGGGAGAUCCUGAGGGGCUUCAAACUACAGUAAACCGGAAACUGUGGAGAAUUGAGAGAUUUCAGAAGCAACGUUUUCAUCUGAUUGGAAAUACCGUAUUGCUGAAAAUAAGAAAGGCCUUUUUAAUGGCUUUUGAACAAAGCAGAAAAGUUUGAGCUUCUCACCUUCAGUCUUAGCUCUUGAACCUGUUGAGAAAGAGGAUAAGAGACAAAUACGGAAAAGAGUUUCAGAAAGCAGAAUCUGUGUCAGCCCACUGGAAGGAAAAGCGAAUCAACCGAUUCAGUGAUGUUAGUGCGUCCAGAAACAGGCUUUUGGGAAAAGCUUGACCUGAGCUGAUUAAAUCCCGAAGCACAAGGGAAGUAGCCAUAUCAAAAAGUUAGCAUGAGAGCAGUGGCGUGUUCAUCUUCUGGUAGCCUUUAUUGGGCAUUUGUGGAGUAAGAGAGAAAAGAAAAGCAGGAAUGUUAAGAUAUGCUACUACCUUCAGGAAAAAGUAAAAUUAAUGUUUUAGUAAGAAACUGACUAUUGUCCACCUUUUAUUGGGUAAAUAGAUUUUCUGAACUUUCUUUCAGAGUAUCUGUUUCUGUAAGAAUAGUUUAUCACUGCAAAAAGAGCACCAUUAUGUUCUCCCACCAACAGUGUUGAUAGUACUCAGUUUUCCACGUUGACUAGGUCAGUCUUUUUUAUUUGCCAGUUUGGAUAACAAAUGAUACAUUGUUUUAAUUGGUAUUCUUCUGGAUCCCUAGAUCCAUGAAAAGGUAAUGUAGCAUAGUGGUUAAGAGCUAUACUGGACUAUGUCGCUAUACUGC
rnacentral:sRNA from 1 species